UACGUAGGGGGCAAGCGUUGUCCGGAUUUAUUGGGCGUAAAGAGCGUGUAGGCGGCCACACAGGUCUGCUGUGAAAACUCGAGGCUCAACCUCGAGCUGUCGGUGGAAACCGUGUGGCUAGAGUCCGGAAGAGGACGAGUGGAAUCCUGGUGUAGCGGUGAAUGCGCAGAUAUCAGGAAGAACACCAACGGCGAAGGCAGCUCGCUAGGACGGUACUGACGCUGAGACGCGAAAGCGUGGGGAGCGAACAGG
rnacentral:rRNA from 1 species